GCCCAUGUAGCUCAGUUGGUAGAGCACAUCCUUGGUAAGGAUGAGGUCGGCGGUUCGAGUCCGCCCAUGGGCU
rnacentral:tRNA from 3 species